rnacentral:rRNA from 1 species
AAGCGGGGAUACUCAUAUAAGACGAGAAGACCCCAUGGAGCUUCAAACCCAACUACACCCCUAGCUCUUAUAGCCCCACAACCCCCCCCUAGGCGCCGUGUGCUUGGUUUUAGGUUGGGGCGACCGCGGAGUACAAUAAAACCUCCACAAUGAACGGGAACACCCCCUUAUCUGAGGGCCACACCCCCUAAGAAUUAGAACACUAACAUAAAAUGAUCCAUUACUUGAUCAAUGAACCAAGUUACCCUGGGGAUAACAGCGCAAUCCAUUUCAAGAGCCCCUAUCGACAAAUGGGUUUACGACCUCGAUGUUGGAUCAGGGUACCCCAGUGGUGCAGCAGCUACUAACGGUUCGUUUGUUCAACGAUUAAAACCCU